rnacentral:rRNA from 1 species
CAGCAGCCGCGGUAAUACGUAGGGUGCGAGCGUUAACCGGAAUUACUGGGCGUAAAGCGUGCGCAGGCGGUUAUAUAAGACAGAUGUGAAAUCCCCGGGCUCAACCUGGGACCUGCAUUUGUGACUGUAUAGCUAGAGUACGGUAGAGGGGGAUGGAAUUCCGCGUGUAGCAGUGAAAUGCGUAGAUAUGCGGAGGAACACCGAUGGCGAUGGCAUUCCCCUGGACCUGUACUGACGCUCAUGCACGAAAGCGUGGGGAGCAAACAGGAUUAGAUACCCCAGUAGUCCCUGUCUCUUAUAC